rnacentral:ncRNA from 1 species
UGAAAGUUUGACUCUAGCUAAUUGUUUUCUUUUUGAUUUAAAUGCAUGUAAAUAUGAAUGUGACUACUUUUAUUGUUUUAGAAAACUUUGUUUUUAAAAGUAAAAUUUUUUAUAAUAUUUUAAUUCUCAGCAUAUAAUAUUAGUUGAUUAGUGAAACCUAGAACUAGAAAAUCAUAUUAAAUCUGGCUAAAAUUGUGCCAGCCGCCGCGGUUACACUGUGAGGUUAAGUGAAUAAAAUUUGGUUAAAAGAGAUUAUUAUGUUUAUUAUAAGUAUAAAAAUAAAAUAUUAGGUAUAGGUGAAAUAAAUAACUAAAAUAUUAUUUUUAUUUGAAAUAAUAAAUAAGAAGUCUAGGAAUUUAAGGUAUAAACCAGGAUUAGAUACCCUGUUAUACUUAAAUGAAAUGGUUUAAACCAGGGUAGUAUACAGUUAUUAUCUCGAAACCCAAAGAGUUUGGCGGUAUCUCAGUCUAGUUAGAGGAGCUUGUUCAGUAAUCGAUAACCCGCGAAAAAUCUUACACAUUUUUGUAAUCAGUUUAUAUACCGUCGUUAUUAGAUAAUAUUAAAAAAUAAAUAAUUAUCUAGAAAUAAUUAAAUAUAAUAUAUCAGAUCAAGGUGUAGCUUAUGAGUGUGAGUGGAAUGAGCUACAAUUUAGUUUAUAAAAACGGAAGUUAAUUUUAAAUAAUUAAUAAAAGGUGGAUUUAAUAGUAACUAUGAUUUUUAAUAGGUUAUAGUGAUAUUAGCUCUGAGAUAUGUACACAUCGCCCGUCGCUCUCACUACAAAGUGAGAUAAGUCGUAACAUAGUAGGGGUGCUGGAAAGAGCCCCUAGAAUG